GACGAACGCUGGCGGCGUGCUUAACACAUGCAAGUCGAACGGAAAGGCCCUGCUUUUGUGGGGUGCUCGAGUGGCGAACGGGUGAGUAACACGUGAGUAACCUGCCCUUGACUUUGGGAUAACUUCAGGAAACUGGGGCUAAUACCGGAUAGGAGCUCCUGCUGCAUGGGGGGGGUUGGAAAGUUUCGGCGGUUGGGGAUAGACUCGCGGCUUAUCAGCUUGUUGGGGGGGUAGUGGCUUACCAAGCCUUUGACGGGUAGCCGGCAUGAGAGCGUGACCGGCGACAUUGCGACUGAGGUACGGCGCAGACGCGUACGUGAGGCAGCAGUCGGGAAUAUUGCACAAUGGGCGGAAGCCUGAUGCGAAGACGCUGCGUGCGGAAUGCCGGCCUUCGGGUUAUGAACCGCUUUCGCCUGUGACGAAGCGUGAGUGACGGUAAUGGGUAAAGAAGCACCGGCUAACUACGUG
rnacentral:rRNA from 1 species